UACGUAGGGGGCAAGCGUUGUCCGGAUUUAUUGGGCGUAAAGAGCGUGUAGGCGGCUUGGUAGGUCUUGCGUCAAAACCUGAGGCUCAACCUCAGUUCGCGUGGGAAACCAUCUAGCUAGAGUCCGGAAGAGGAGAACGGAAUUCCCAGUGUAGCGGUGAAAUGCGCAGAUAUUGGGAAGAACACCAGUGGCGAAGGCGGUUCUCUGGGACGGUACUGACGCUGAGACGCGAAAGCGUGGGGAGCGAACAGG
rnacentral:rRNA from 1 species